rnacentral:rRNA from 1 species
GAUGAACGCUGGCGGCGUGCUUAACACAUGCAAGUCGAACGGAAAGGCCCUGUUUUUGCUGGGUGCUCGUGUGGCGCACGGGUGUGUAACACGUGAGUAUUCUCCCCUUGACUUUGGGAUAACUCUAGGAAACUGGGGCUAAUACCGGAUAGGAGAUUUUGCUGCAUGGUGGGCGUUGGAAAGUUUCGGCGGUUGGGGAUCGACUUGCGGCUUACCAGCUUGUUGGUGGAGUAGUGGCAUACCAAGGCUUCGACGGGUAGUCGGCCUGAGAGGGUGGCCAGCCACAAUGGGACUGAGGUAGGGCGCAGACUGGUACGGGAGGCAGCGGGGGGGAAUAUUGCACAAUGGGCGGAAGCCUGAUGCAGCGACGCCGCGUGCGGGAAGACGGCCUUCGGGGUGUAAACCACUUUCGCCUGAGACGAAGCGUGAGUGACGGUAAUGGGUAAAGAAGCACCGGCUAACUACGUG